rnacentral:rRNA from 1 species
AUUGAACGCUAGCGGCAGGCCUAACACAUGCAAGUCGAGGGGUAGCAGGAUUAAGCUUGCUUAAUUGCUGACGACCGGCGCACGGGUGCGUAACGCGUAUGCAACCUACCUUAUACUGGGGUAUAGCCCGGAGAAAUUCGGAUUAAUCCCCCAUAGUACUAAUGAAUCGCAUGGUUUAUUAGUUAAAGCAUUGCGGUAUAAGAUGGGCAUGCGUCCUAUUAGCUAGAUGGUGAGGUAACGGCUCACCAUGGCUACGAUAGGUAGGGGGCCUGGGAGGGUGGUCCCCCACACUGGUACUGAGACACGGACCGGACUCCUAAGGGAGGCAGCAGUGAGGAAUAUUGGUCAAUGGGCGCAAGCCUGAACCAGCCAUGCCGCGUGCAGGAAGAAUGCCCUAUGGGUUGUAAACUGCUUUUAUUUGGGAAUAAACCUCUUUACGUGUAGAGAGCUGAAGGUACCAAAUGAAUAAGCACCGGCUAACUCCGUGCUAGCAGCCGCAGUAA